CUCGCCGCGCGCGCGUUCCGUGUUACUGCGCAUGCGCUCGGAACCUCCGCUCCUUGCCUGGUAACGUUCCAGGCACUCGCCUCGGCAGUUGGCGGGAGCUCCCCCUGCGCGGGCGGCUGUCACUUUCGCACGUCAUUAAACGUCACACAGCCAUGACGUCCAUUUAAGACCUAAUUAUGUCCCUGUUCUGGUAUCACACUCCAGAGAGUAAUCAAGAAUCGGCUAUUGAACACAAGCUAGAUGGUUCAUCACUAUGAUUCUUACCAAAACGAGGUGCAUGUCCCAUUUGCAAGUGUGUUGCAUGUGAGAAAAUAAGGGACUUCUUCAGAGGACCAAUGAAGGAGCACACCGCCAAAUGGAAAACGGAAGUGACUGGAAAUGGAGUAGUGGCUAUUGCCCUUCUAAAGGAAUAUUCACGUGUCACAGACCAACGGAUAAAAGUAGUUCUGGAUGACAUGCAGAGCAUGCUGAAGGCAACGAGUUACCUACAUUUGUAACAUGCCAGGAGCAAACAGGAUCAAUGACUACAAUUCUGUGGAAGCCAAUUGAUAAUUAGUGUCAUUUAUGUGCAUCAAGCUUAUAUUCCUACAUCACGCACUUCUAGGACAAGGAGUAACAGUAGAGCAGAGUCACUUUGUGUCACACAUACAGAUGAAACAAGUGAUAAAAAAAACAGCCUUCUUUGGUGCAUAGAUUUUUUUAUAUAUAUAUAUAUUCUGCCUGCAAAGGUGAAACAAAUGGAAGCUGACAUCUCAAUCAAAAACAGUUUUUAGCUGCUUGUGAAUUACAGUACUCUAAGAUUUUAUUUUCUUGUAGCUGAACUUUAACUCUGGGUUUCCAGGAUUGGUAGCUUUGAUAUCAGAGGCUAGAGAAGAAAUAUAAUAUCCAUCUGCAACCUUAACAUCACCUUCACAUAGAUUUAUGUUUUUUUGGUGGAGAGGAACAAACAUUUAAGUGUGUGUGCAUGUGUGUGUGUGCGUGCACAUGAACCUCCCCCCCCCUUUUUUUUUUAAUGUCAGGAAUGUGUUUUUGCAAUGCAUUUAGAUCAUGAUAAUUACCAAAAUUAAUAGUAACUACUGUUCCCAGAAUUCCAAUUUAACAGCACCUUCUUCCUUUAGUUAUGUAGACCCAUAUAUUUGUCUAUGUGCAUUUGAAUUUGUUUCAUUAGCUGUUCUCUGUGAACCUCCAUAAAAUCAUGUUGGGUGCAUCAGAUAUACUGGGUGCAUCUACACAUGCAAUUAAUGCAACUAAAUAUACUCCAGCUCAAUUUAAGAUGGAGUGAACUAAUCCCAAUGUCGCCAUCUACAGGUGUGUUUAAUCACAGUAAUUAAUUGUGCUGCCAGAUGCCACUUGUAUGUGAUAGGAGUAUCCAGCAGCAUAGUCCAUUAGUCUACUGCACCCUAAUUGCUGUGUAUGUGUAGAUAGUGCUGCUUUACUGCGCAACAAAUUAGUCUGCUGCACAUAAAAGUAUUUUGUGUAGACAUGUCCACUAAGAAGUAAGCAAGGACACAUUAUUGGCACUGUGCAGUUAAAGAAGGAAGUAAUGUUGCAUUUUGUUGGACACUGCCAUCCCAACAGCCAAUGACAUUUUGUUUCACAAAACAAUUGCUUGUGCUGUCUCCAAGAAACUCCUUGCAUUUUAUUUCUAGCUUGGAAGAGAAAAAAAAAAUAUUUGCCUUUAGUAAAUAUAGAACCCUCCAAAGCAGUUUCAUAGGAGCCUUUUGUUGAGCAAUAAUGUAAAUAUUAUCUCAAAUGUAAACAGCUCUCAAAUGUACCAGUUGUACCACAGUUCUGUCCUCUGAUUUAUUUUGAGCCUGGGAAAAAAAAAAAAAAAUGUUGCCUUCUUUACUGAGAUUACUGUGUAGUCUGGGCCAGUAUUAGCAACUAUGCCAAACCUGGGAAACAUUUGCCACCAACCUUUCCCACUUCUAAACCAGGAACAAAAACAAACCGUUGAAUCUCUCCAAAAGUAUAAGCUCAUUCUUUUGCACCAGGCACAUGAUCCAUUUUGCACUGAUAUGAAUGGAAGGCAUUUCCGUUUUCAAGGUCUUGCCCUUCAGCUUUAUAGGGAAUGGUGUUCACAAAAAUAUAGGUUAAACCUUCAGAUGAUUGGACCCCUGAAGGAACCACCACCUGGUUAAAGCAGCCAUGCCCAGGUCUAUCACAACAUGGGGUGGCCACCGUUCCUUCCUUGACCUUCCUUUUGAACACCUGUGCUUCUUCUCAAGCAAUCACUGUACCAAAAUUUGUCCCUCUGGGUUGCGUGCCUACAAGUAGCUAGGCUAGCAACACCAGACAGCUACUGUUUCAGACUGAGACUUAGAUCCAGGUUUCUGCAGAAAAAGGCAAACACUGGAUGAAGCAUGAUAUAAAGGGCCAGAAGGAAAAAAAAAAAAGAGAGAAAGAGUACAGAUCGCACAGAUGAACCACUGAAGCCACAAACCAUUGUGAAUAUGCUGUCAAUUGUACCUGCUUUAAGCUCAGCUAUUUCAAACUGAUCAAAGUGGUUAUGGUACUACCUGGCAGCCUAUCUAAACUAGGCCUCCCAACAUUAGAAGAGUCAGGACAGCUCUAGAGUAGAUGGAGACUUAGGAAGCACUGUUCGCUGUAGCUGUAACUGAUUUGCUUAUAAAUCAAAGGAUAUGGUUAAGUUGUGUUUUCUUUUUUCUUGUUUGUACUCAAAGGUAAAAAGCCCUGGAAAGCCAAGUAUAAAUCAACUUCAGAAGGGUGAAUCUUUUGUUCAUUUGUUUUAAAUUUUACUGUUUAAUAAAUCACCAAAAUCAAAGUAGUCCUAUGUAGGCCUUUAAUGGACUAUUUAGCAGGCCUAUAGACAAGAGCCACCUAUACAUGGGCUCCAGGGGGGUGGGUUAGAGUAACUCUCAGGAGCCACUUUAAUUAACAUGCCUGCAAUAUCUUGUGUAUUCAGCAUGUGCAUUUCAGAAUAUCAGUGGGGGCGCUUUGACUAAAGUUAAUUGAAUUAGCUUUAGUUAAAGUGCUCCUGCUGCCAUUUUGAAAGACAGGGACUCUGGAUACACGAGACACUGCAGCACACUGAAGUAUUCUGAUUACUGCAAUCAAGUCGGGUCUGCUCCAACACAUUCUAAUUGGAACAUGUCAGAGCACGUGUAAAAGUGCCCAGAAGUGGUUAAUGCCAUUCAGUAUAUAUUUGUAAAUAGCUGGGUUUGGAAAAAGGACCUCAUGAAAUGUUUAGACAAUAGCUUUCAUCCAUUCUACUGUAUUUAAAGUCCAUUUGUUAAUUGAGAGUCCAUCUUCUUAACAGCAUGUGUACACAUGACAUCUGCAAAUAUUUUAUCUAUUGUUAUAAGCUAUGAGAUAUUGGUGAAUUGCAGAGCGCCACAGAUAAGAAUGGAAGUUUAAAACAAAUAAACAAACAGACUUGUAGGUUACUUCUGUUUUGAUGGUUUAAAAAAAAAAAAAAAUCCCACACAAUAGAAGGUUUUGGAAGAGGUAAAAUUAAGUUUAUUCUUUUAACACAGAAACAGGAAAAACAGAGAAGGUGGAAAGGGAGAAAAGGAAGAAAUAUAAGUUAAAACAUAAGAGGUUUAUGGAGCAUGGAUCUGUGUAGCAGGUACUCUGACAUCAUGCAUUCUGACUUUAUAAGACUUCAAUUUCUGAUUAUUGCUUUGCUGAUGAAUUCUUCUAAUUUUUGUGCCAAAUGGAUAUGGUGUAAUAAUACACCAGGGCAAGUUCUGCUGUUUCACCUUAGGAGAUUUUUCAUUUGUGUUGCCCGGUUGGAGCAAAACAAAGACUUUUUGUUCUUAUGCCUUCAAUUUAAAUGCGAGUCCAGAAGACACCUCAUAUCCCUACGUAUCUAUCCUGAGGCACAUUGCUGAGGGAUCUUCAGCUUCUUUUACGAUUCUAAUAGACCUCCGAACAAGCAGCAGUAUAUGAUAAAGCAGAUUUCCUGCAGGGUUCCCACAAAAACUUCUAAGCAGGAAUUUCAUUUUCAGUGAUCUCCCUUUCUUCUUAGCUAAAAGCUACAAAUUCAGAAUUUAUAAUGGAAUCAAAAGGACCCAUUUUUUUCUCCACUUCUAAUUGUCAGAAAAGACAAUAUAGCAAACUUAUACUAAGGUAAUCUUUGUAUACAUUUGAAAACUGAAAUUUUCUGGAGGCAUGAGACACAGUUUUAAAUAAAUAACCUAAU